rnacentral:rRNA from 1 species
UACGUAGGGGGCGAGCGUUGUCCGAAGUUACUGGGCGUAAAGAGCGCGUAGGCGGGUCUUUAAGUGAGUGGUGAAAGGUUCGGGCUCAACCCGGACACUGCCUUUCAUACUGGGGACCUUGAGUGCGGGAGGGGCGAGUGGAAUGGUCGGUGUAGCGGUGAAAUGCGUAGAUAUCGAUCGGAACACCCAUGGCGAAGGCAGCUCGCUGGCCUGCAACUGACGCUGAGGCGCGAAAGCUGGGGGAGCAAACAGG